rnacentral:rRNA from 1 species
UACGUAGGGUGCAAGCGUUGUCCGGAAUUAUUGGGUGUAAAGAGCUCGUAGGCGGUUUGUCGCGUCGAAUGUGAAAACCCGGGGCUCAACUCCGGGCCUGCAUUCGAUACGGGCAGACUAGAGUUCGGUAGGGGAGACUGGAAUUCCUGGUGUAGCGGUGAAAUGCGCAGAUAUCAGGAGGAACACCGGUGGCGAAGGCGGGUCUCUGGGCCGAUACUGACGCUGAGGAGCGAAAGCGUGGGGAGCGAACAGG